rnacentral:rRNA from 1 species
UGGGGAAUAUUGGACAAUGGGGGCAACCCUGAUCCAGCAAUGCCGCGUGAGUGAUGAAGGCCUUAGGGUUGUAAAGCUCUUUUACCCGGGAUGAUAAUGACAGUACCGGGAGAAUAAGCCCCGGCUAACUCCGUGCCAGCAGCCGCGGUAAUACGGAGGGGGCUAGCGUUGUUCGGAAUUACUGGGCGUAAAGCGCGCGUAGGCGGCUUUGUAAGUUAGAGGUGAAAGCCCAGGGCUCAACCCUGGAAUUGCCUUUAAGACUGCAUCGCUAGAAUUGUGGAGAGGUGAGUGGAAUUCCGAGUGUAGAGGUGAAAUUCGUAGAUAUUCGGAAGAACACCAGUGGCGAAGGCGGCUCACUGGACGAUUGUUGACGCUGAGGUGCGAAAGCGUGGGGAGCAAA